AUCAAGCAGGCUCCCAAGGAGUAUUUAUGACAGUUUGGAGCAGCUCCUUUGCUGCCUGUAAGCAGAGCCAGCCAUCCUUCAGGCAGACCAGCCCGAAGCACCGUGCUGAAUGGUAAAUCUUAAAGGACUGAAGUCAUGCAGCUACCUGGAAAGAAAAAGGAUCCUUCAUCGUGUAUUUAGAAAUGCUAAAUGGCCCGGGAAACUACUUAGAGAUUUCUCAUGCUCAGAUCCUCAUUUUCUCUUGCGUGGUCAUCCCUAGGACAGCUCUGGAAAACAAGGCAGCCAUUUUCUCUUAAGCUGUUACACUCGGCAAACCAGAUUGAAGUGCUUGAUACGCUGCUGCUCUCUUCCGUGCCUGCAGCACUCGGAGGGGAAAAACAGCCAAUCACCCACAAACAGGAAGGAGUUCAAUGGUGUAGCAAGGAGUCAGACAAGCACCAUAUGGGCAGAAGUGAGCGAAGACAAAAGCGAGGGUUGGACCAGUGUUCUCAGCAGCAGCAAGACUUGCACUGGCUCAGCUGUGUUGUCUAAUCAGGUUUUACAGAAAACUGAAAACCGUUUUCUCUGACUGGACUGAAUUUCCACCAAUUUCUGUUUGGGCGGUGAUAUUCAAGCAGUGACAGCUUAGCUGCAGACACCCACCAAAGUAUUUCUCCCGUCUGCCUACCUUGCCUCUCGGCACCAGCGGCUGAGCCACUCACCACUAGAUUGCCCAAAACUGCAAUUUAUAGCACAUUUUGCUCAGGCUGGAAUUAGCAGCAGUCUGCUUUGAAAAGGUGCACAGUAAACUAAAGUGUUUCAGCAGUGACUCAGCAUUGUGUAUUAAUAGCCAGCCUAGGCUUAUUUAAGACUCUACCAUUGCCAUGUGGCUGGGAUACGAGUUGGAUCAGGCUGUUGAUCGGACUGAAAGCUCAUCUUGCAAACAAAAUCAUUUUUUCAGCGUUGUGCACCAGCACAAUUAUAGAGCCAAUAUUGGGAGCAGAGGGUCAAGGAUAAGGGGAGGGCAGGACAGUCCAUUUUGCAGCAGCCUGCAUUUAUGUUGGCAGAGGUCAACCAUGGAAGGAGUCGGCUCCCCUUUGCCCACAGAAGAAAGCGAAGGGCACAAGGACAGAUAGCCAGGGGCAGCAGCAGCCUGCCCCUGCUGUGCCAUCCCUCCUCCAUGAACAGAUGCUGCAGUUGUGAAGAACGAGACCCCCAAUGACGACUGUGUGGUGACUUUCCACAGAAACAUAUGGCCGUCACCUCAGCUAAAUAAUUCGCGUAUAUAUGGAGACAACCUCUAAGUGAAAGACCCUCAGAAGCACAAAGACCAAAAGAGACCAGUAUUAUAUAACUGGGUUUCCUCAGUAAUGCGAGUUUUUUGUUUGUUUGUUUUGUUUUGUUUUGUUUUCUAACUCAAAGAUGCAAUUUUUGCAUUAAAAAUAACUUUGAAAGAAAUCUGUAUUUAAGAAAUUAAUCUGAAUGGGAUGCAAAAAUGUCAGCUAAUGAUGAAUUCCUCAUCUCAAUUUCAACAAUUUACCAACUUAAAUAGCUACAAAUUUUGGGGGAAUAGCAGAAUCUGUUUCCUGUUUGAA